rnacentral:rRNA from 1 species
GACGAACGCUGGCGGCGUGCCUAAUACAUGCAAGUCGAACGCAUUUUCUUUCACCGUAGCUUGCUACACCGAAAGAAAAUGAGUGGCGAACGGGUGAGUAACACGUGGGUAACCUGCCCAUCAGCGGGGGAUAACACUUGGAAACAGGUGCUAAUACCGCAUAAUUCCAUUUACCGCAUGGUAGAUGGGUGAAAGGCGCUUUUGCGUCACUGAUGGAUGGACCCGCGGUGCAUUAGCUAGUUGGUGGGGUAACGGCCUACCAAGGCUGCGAUGCAUAGCCGACCUGAGAGGGUGAUCGGCCACACUGGGACUGAGACACGGCCCAGACUCCUACGGGAGGCAGCAGUAGGGAAUCUUCGGCAAUGGACGCAAGUCUGACCGAGCAACGCCGCGGGAGUGAAGAAGGUUUUCGGAUCGUAAAACUCUGUUGUUAGAGAAGAACAAGGAUGAGAGUGGAAAGUUCAUCCCUUGACGGUAGCUAACCAGAAAGCCACGGCUAACUACGUG